UACGGAGGGUGCGAGCGUUAAUCGGAAUUACUGGGCGUAAAUCGUGCGCAGGCGGCCCGUUAAGACAGGUGUGAAAUCCCUGGGCUCAACCUAGGAAUUGCGCUUGUGACUGGCGGGCUCGAGUACGGUAGAGGGGGGUGGAAUUCCUGGUGUAGCAGUGAAAUGCGUAGAGAUCAGGAGGAACACCGAUGGCGAAGGCAGCCCCCUGGGCCUGUACUGACGCUCAUGCACGAAAGCGUGGGGAGCAAACAGG
rnacentral:rRNA from 1 species